CCACAACUAGCUCAGUCGGUAGAGCAUGAGACUCUUAAUCUCAGGGUUGUAGG
rnacentral:tRNA from 1 species